rnacentral:ncRNA from 1 species
AUAACAGUUAUGAUAGGAAAUAGUAGUAGUUUGUUUUUCAGUAGAGAGUCGAUGGCUGGUGCAAAUCGAUGUAAAACGACUAUGAAUCCAUCCUUGAGCUGGUUUAUCGAAUGAUAGAGUAAAUAAACCCGGACACGUGCCGUUAUCACGUUUAAGCUGGAAGAGUGCUUUGAUGCGUUCUUCAAUCAGGGUGGCAACGCGGGUAAAACUCCCGUCCCUAUU